rnacentral:rRNA from 1 species
UACGUAGGUGGCAAGCGUUAUCCGGAAUUAUUGGGCGUAAAGAGCUCGUAGGCGGUUUGUCGCGUCGAAUGUGAAAACCCGGGGCUCAACCCCGGGCCUGCAUUCGAUACGGGCAGACUAGAGUUCGGUAGGGGAGUCUGGAAUUCCUGGUGUAGCGGUGAAAUGCGCAGAUAUCAGGAGGAACACCGGUGGCGAAGGCGGGACUCUGGGCCGAUACUGACGCUGAGGAGCGAAAGCGUGGGGAGCAAACAGG